rnacentral:rRNA from 1 species
UACAGAGGUCUCAAGCGUUGUUCGGAUUCAUUGGGCGUAAAGGGUGCGUAGGCGGCGCGGUAAGUCGGGUGUGAAAUCUCGGAGCUUAACUCCGAAACUGCAUUCGAUACUGCCGUGCUUGAGGACUGGAGAGGAGACUGGAAUUUACGGUGUAGCGGUGAAAUGCGCAGAUAUCAGGAGGAACACCGGUGGCGAAGGCGGGUCUCUGGGCCGAUACUGACGCUGAGGAGCGAAAGCGUGGGGAGCAAACAGG